rnacentral:rRNA from 1 species
GUGGGGAAUCUUCCACAAUGGACGAAAGUCUGAUGGAGCAACGCCGCGUGAGUGAAGAAGGGUUUCGGCUCGUAAAGCUCUGUUGUCGGGGACGAAUGUGCAGUAUUUGAAUAAAGUACUGUAAUGACGGUACCUGACGAGGAAGCCACGGCUAACUACGUGCCAGCAGCCGCGGUAAUACGUAGGUGGCAAGCGUUGUCCGGAAUUAUUGGGCGUAAAGGGAGCGCAGGCGGGAAGGUAAGUCGGUCUUAAAAGUGCGGGGCUCAACCCCGUGAUGGGAUCGAAACUAUCUUUCUUGAGUGCAGGAGAGGAAAGUGGAAUUCCUAGUGUAGCGGUGAAAUGCGUAGAUAUUAGGAAGAACACCGGUGGCGAAGGCGGCUUACUGGACUGAAACUGACGCUGAGGCACGAAAGCGUGGGGAGCGAACAGGAUUAGAUACCCUGGUAGUCC